UACAGAGGGGGCAAGCGUUGUUCGGAAUUACUGGGCGUAAAGGGCGCGUAGGCGGCCUGCUAAGUCGAACGUGAAAUCCUCGAGCUCAACUCGGGAACUGCGUACGAUACUGGCAGGCUUGAAUCCGGGAGAGGGAUGCGGAAUUCCAGGUGUAGCGGUGAAAUGCGUAGAUAUCGGGAAGAACAUCGGUGGCGAAAGCGCUCUACUGGACCGCAACUGACACUCAGGGACGAAAGCUAGGGGAGCGAAUGGG
rnacentral:rRNA from 1 species